rnacentral:lncRNA from 1 species
GGCAAAGAGAAGGGAGCAUGAAGCUGUCAUUUUGAACAUGCCUAGUCGCAGAGAUGCAUGCGGGGAGAACUCUAUGUGAAGGUGAAGGCAGAGAUGCUUCAUUAAGCCAAGGAAUGCCAAAGGUGGCCAGCAAACCACCAGAAACCAGGCAAGAUGCAUGGAACAGAUUCUGUCUCGUAGCUCUCAGAAGGAACCAACCCUGCCAUCGCACAUUGAUUUUGGACUUCUGGCUUCCAGAACUGUGUGCUCAGACAGAGGAGGGAGACAAGGUACCACGUUAACAACAGGACUGAAAUUUCGCCCAGAGUACAGAGAGCUCAGCAGAUUCCUGGCAUUUCUGAAAAACAAUCCUCUGGGGUUGAAUCAAAUUAAAUGCUUUAGGAAAAAAAGUUUUGAUAUUCAAGAGAAAUAAUGUGGCUUAACAACUGAAGUUCCACUUCUGAUGGACCUGAGAAGCCUUGCAAAUGACGUUUGAUUUUCACACUCUUUGAAGAGACAACAGAUUUCAUUGUGUAGGGGAGAAGCUGCCCAAGUGGACUUCUGGAGUUCUGACUACUUUGGGAGAUCCAUUGACUGAAAUGGAAGAAAAUAAUUCUAAAAUUUGUAUGGAACCACAAAGACUGCUAAUAGCCAAAGCUAGUUUGAACAAGAAGAACAAAGCUGGAGGCCUCACACUUUCUGAUUUCAAAAUAUAUUGCGAAGCUACAGUACUAGCAUAAAAACAGAUGAUAAACCAAUGGGUAGAAUAGACAGCCCAGAAAUAAGCCCACUUACAUGUGGUCAGCUAAGUUUUAACAAGGGUGCUAAGAAUACAUAACAGGCAAAUGAUAGUCUCUUCAAUCAAGUAUGGAGAAAAUUGGAUAUCUACAUGCAAA